AGUGGCAAGUUCAUUGAGUAUUUUGACCCAAAUCCAGGGAUGGCGUCCCAAACAGGUUUCUAAAACAACGAACUUAAUGAGACAACAGCCACCGCAGACCUGCGCUCUGUCAGCAAGAAGCCUGAGUUCUCGGAGGUGCAGUUAGUGUCUCAGGGUCCACGAUGCUCACAAAUGCUAGAAACAUAAGGUCAGGAAGGAGCUCAGCGACGCUCGCCCGGGUCUCCAGCAGCGAGCGGCCGACGCUCCUGCCGGAAGCAGCCGGGACACGGCGGCCGCGCGUGUUCUCCAGGCCUCCCCGCCCCCCUCCCCCCGCCUCCGAACCCGCAGGACAAAGACUGCGGGGUCGUCCAAGUCACUCAGGGAGUAGCGGCCUCGCAACACGGGAUCCCAGCAACUAAGCGUGCGCAGGGGUCGCCUCCCUUGACCGGGGCGACCAGAGGCGGGGACCCGAGGUAAGGAUCGAGGCCCCAGCCCCUUCCCCCGAGUCAGCUUGGCUCGCCCCACGUGCCCGCCCGCACUUACCGGACAGCAGAGCGGGGCCGGUGCGCAGCGCCCGGACGGCGCCCGCCCGCAGUCUCCAGGGCCGCGGCGGGCAGGGCGCGUUGGGCUCAGAGAUGGCGCGCAGGCUGCAGAUCGCGGCCCGCACGCUGCGCGCCACUCGCAGCGCCAUGUUCGCAGGGGUGCAAAGGGUCUCCGCACAGCAUCUAGAGCACCCCUGGCCGGAGCGGGCGGGGCGGGGAGGGGGCGGCCCCGGGCCGGAGCAAGCCGGAGCGAGCUGGCUGGACCGGCGCGCAGGGGCGGGGCCCCGGG